rnacentral:rRNA from 1 species
GUGAAGCAUCCUGUUAAGUCAGGCAACGAGCGAGACCCACGCCCACAGUUGCCAGCGUACUCUCUGGGAGUGACGGGUACACUGUGGGGACCGCCGCUGCUAAAGCGGAGGAAGGAAUGGGCAACGGUAGGUCAGUAUGCCCCGAAUAUCCCGGGCUACACGCGAGCUACAAUGGUUGGUACAAUGGGUAUCUACCCCGAAAGGGGACGGGAAUCUCCUAAAACCAAUCUUAGUUCGGAUUGAGGGCUGCAACUCGCCCUCAUGAAGCUGGAAUCCGUAGUAAUCGCGUUUCAACAGAACGCGGUGAAUACGUCCCUGCUCCUU